rnacentral:rRNA from 1 species
CCUACGGGAGACUGCAGUGAGGAAUAUUGGUCAAUGGACGAGAGCCUGAACCAGCCAAGUAGCGUGAAGGAUGACUGCCCUAUGGGUUGUAAACUUCUUUUAUAUGGGAAUAAAAUGUUCCACGUGUGGGAUUUUGUAUGUACCAUAUGAAUAAGGAUCGGCUAACUCCGUGCCAGCAGCCGCGGUAAUACGGAGGAUCCGAGCGUUAUCCGGAUUUAUUGGGUUUAAAGGGAGCGUAGGUGGGUUGUUAAGUCAGUUGUGAAAGUUUGCGGCUCAACCGUAAAAUUGCAGUUGAAACUGGCAGUCUUGAGUACAGUAGAGGUGGGCGGAAUUCGUGGUGUAGCGGUGAAAUGCUUAGAGAUCACGAAGAACUCCGAUUGCGAAGGCAGCUCACUGGACUGCAACUGACACUGAGGCUCGAAAGUGUGGGUAUCAAACAGGAUUAGAUACCCCAGUAGUC